rnacentral:lncRNA from 1 species
AGGAAGACAUCUUGGUGCUUGGCAGCUUGGGAGUAGCGGUGCGGGGCCGGAGCGGGAGGUUGGAGGAGGAGAAAGAAGAAGGAGAAGAAAGAGAAAAAGGAGGAUGGAGAAGUAGAGAAGGCAGUGGCUGAGAGCGAUGGGCAGCUGGGUAGUGUGGGCUGAUACUCAGUUGCAAGUGGUCACCUGCUGAGAUUACCUCCCAAAACAUUACUUGCUAGAGAUGGAUGUCACACCCAGCACAUGGAUGGUGUAAACAGCAGUUCAGAAAGGUUUCACUUUCAUUAUAACUGGUUGGACAUCAGCAAGUGGUUCAGUGAUCACGGAAGUUCAUGA